UACGGGAGGGGGGCUAGCGUUGUUCGGAAUUACUGGGCGUAAAGCGCACGUAGGCGGCUUUGUAAGUCAGAGGUGAAAGCCCGGGGCUCAACCCCGGAUGUGCCUUUGAGACUGCAUCGCUUGAACGUCGGAGAGGUGAGUGGAAUUCCGAGUGUAGAGGUGAAAUUCGUAGAUAUUCGGAGAACACCAGUGGCGAAGGCGGCUCACUGGACGACUGUUGACGCUGAGGUGCGAAAGCG
rnacentral:rRNA from 1 species